rnacentral:tRNA from 1 species
AUUGCUUUGGCAGAAUAGUGCGUUGAAUUUAGAAUUCAAUAAUGUAAAUAUAUUUUACAUGUAAUA